GAUGAACGCUAGCUACAGGCUUAACACAUGCAAGUCGAGGGGCAGCAUAAUCGAAGCUUGCUUUGAUUGAUGGCGACCGGCGCACGGGUGAGUAACGCGUAUCCAACCUUCCCCUUAGUAGAGAAUAGCCCGGCGAAAGUCGGAUUAAUUCCCUAUGUUCUUGACAGCAGACAUCUAACGUCAAGCAAAGAUUCAUCGCUAUGGGAUGGGGAUGCGUCUGAUUAGGUUGCAGGCGGGGUAACGGCCCACCUGGCCAACGAUCAGUAGGGGGUUCUGAGAGGAAGGUCCCCCCACAUUGGAACUGAGACACGGUCCAAAACUCC
rnacentral:rRNA from 1 species